UGAGGAAUAUUGGUCAAUGGACGCAAGUCUGAACCAGCCAAGUAGCGUGCAGGAUGACGGCCCUAUGGGUUGUAAACUGCUUUUAUAUGGGGAUAAAGUGGGGAACGUGUUCCCUUUUGCAGGUACCAUAUGAAUAAGGACCGGCUAAUUCCGUGCCAGCAGCCGCGGUAAUACGGAAGGUUCGGGCGUUAUCCGGAUUUAUUGGGUUUAAAGGGAGCGUAGGCCGUUUGGUAAGCGUGUUGUGAAAUGUAGGAGCUCAACUUCUGAAUUGCAGCGCAUACUGGUUUCCUUGAGUACGCACAACGUUGGCGGAAUUCGUCGUGUAGCGGUGAAAUGCUUAGAUAUGACGAAGAACUCCGAUUGUGAAGGCAGCUGACGGGAGCGCAACUGACGCUUAAGCUCGAAGGUGCGGGUAUCAAACAGG
rnacentral:rRNA from 1 species